CCUACGGGUGGCAGCAGUGAGGAAUAUUGAUCAAUGGGCGUAAGCCUGAACCAGCCAAGUCGCGUGAGGGAUGAAGGUUCUAUGGAUCGUAAACCUCUUUUAUAAGGGAAUAAAGUGUGGGACGUGUCCUGUUUUGUAUGUACCUUAUGAAUAAGGAUCGGCUAACUCCGUGCCAGCAGCCGCGGUAAUACGGAGGAUCCUAGCGUUAUCCGGAUUUAUUGGGUUUAAUGGGUGCGUAGGCGGCCUUUUACGUCAGCGGUGAAAGUCUGUGGCUCAACCAUAGAAUUGCCGUUGAAACUGGGAGGCUUGAGUAUGUUUGAGGCAGGCGGAAUGCGGGGUGUAGCGGUGACAUGCUUAGAGAUCACGCAGAACCCCGAUGGCGAAGGCAGCCUGCCAAGCCAUGACUGACGCUGAUGCACGAAAGCGUGGGGAUCAAACAGGAUUAGAUACCCCUGUAGUC
rnacentral:rRNA from 1 species